rnacentral:ncRNA from 2 species
AUCCAUCUUCGGGGCAGGGUGAAAUUCCCGACCGGCGGUAAUUGAAGAUUCCCUCUUCAUCAGCCCGUGAGCGGAAAAAUUCAGCAAUGAAUUUUUCAUGCUGAUCUGGUGUAACUCCAGAGCCGACAGUAUAGUCUGGAUGGGAGAAGAUGUUG